rnacentral:rRNA from 1 species
GAUGAACGCUAGCGACAGGCUUAACACAUGCAAGUCGAGGGGUAACAGGGUAGCAAUACCGCUGACGACCGGCGCACGGGUGAGUAACGCGUAUGCAACCUGCCUAUAACUGGGGAAUAGCUCCCUGAAAGGGGAAUUAACACCGCAUAAUACUAUUGAUUCGCAUGGAUUAGUAGUUAAAUGUAGCGAUACAGGUUAUAGAUGGGCAUGCGUGACAUUAGCUAGUUGGUGAGGUAACGGCUCACCAAGGCUACGAUGUCUAGGGGUUCUGAGAGGAAGGUCCCCCACACUGGUACUGAGACACGGACCAGACUCCUACGGGAGGCAGCAGUGAGGAAUAUUGGUCAAUGGGCGCAAGCCUGAACCAGCCAUGUCGCGUGCAGGACGACUGCCCUAUGGGUUGUAAACUGCUUUUAUAGUUAGAAGAAACCAAUCUACGUGUAGAUGUCUGCCAGUAUACUAUGAAUAAGCAUCGG